rnacentral:rRNA from 1 species
GUACGGGGGGGCAAGCGUUGUUCGGAUUCACUGGGCGUAAAGGGUGCGUAGGUGGCGUGGUAAGUUUGAUGUGAAAGCUCAGGGCUUAACCCUGAAAUGGCAUUGAAUACUACUGUGCUGGAGGUUUGGAGGGGGGACUGGAAUUCUUGGUGUAGCAGUGAAAUGCGUAGAUAUCAAGAGGAACACCAGUGGCGAAGGCGAGUCCCUGGACAACACCUGACACUGAGGCACGAAAGCUAGGGGAGCAAACAGG